AUACGUAGGGGGCAAGCGUUAUCCGGAUUUACUGGGUGUAAAGGGAGCGUAGACGGUGUGACAAGUCUGAUGUGAAAACCCGGGGCUCAACUCCGGGAUUGCAUUGGAAACUGCCAUACUUGAGUGCAGGAGAGGUAAGCGGAAUUCCUAGUGUAGCGGUGAAAUGCGUAGAUAUUAGGAGGAACACCGGCGGCGAAGGCGGCUUACAGGACGGUAACUGACGUUGAGGCUCGAAAGCGGGGGGAGCAAACAGGAUUAGAUACCCUGGUAGUCCACGCGGUAAACGAGGAAUACAAGGUGUUGGGGGUCUAUAGACCCUCGGUGCCGCAGCAAACGCAAUAAGUAUUCCACCUGGGGAGUACGUUCGCAAGAAUGAAACUCAAAGGAAUUGACGGGG
rnacentral:rRNA from 1 species